rnacentral:pre_miRNA from 1 species
UGUGUACUCCCUCCAUUCCAAAAUACUUGACUUCCAUUUGUCCAAAAAUGGAUGUACCUAUAUACUAAAACAUGUCUAGAUACAUAUAUAUUUUGACAAAUAGAAGGCAUGUAUUGUGCAAUGGAGGGAGUAAAAU